rnacentral:rRNA from 1 species
GACGAACGCUGGCGGCGUGCUUAACACAUGCAAGUCGAGCGGUAAGGCCCUUUCGGGGGUACACGAGCGGCGAACGGGUGAGUAACACGUGGGUGACCUGCCCUCAGCUCUGGGAUAAGCCCGGGAAACUGGGUCUAAUACCGGAUAUGACUUCAUGACGCAUGUUGUGGAGUGGAAAGCCUUGUGCGGCUGAGGAUGGGCCCGCGGCCUAUCAGCUUGUUGGUGGGGGAUGGCCUACCAAGGCGACGACGGUAGGCCGGCCUGAGAGGGCGACCGGCCACACUGGGACUGAGAUACGGCCAGACUCCUACGGGAGGCAGCAGUGGGGAAUCUUGCGCAAUGGGCGAAAGCCUGACGCAGCGACGCCGCGUGA